rnacentral:rRNA from 1 species
GACGAACGCUGGCGGCGUGCCUAAUACAUGCAAGUAGGACGCAGUUGCGAACGGGUGAGUAACGCGUAGGUAACUACCUAUUAGAGGGGGAUAACUAUUGGAAACGAUAGCUAAUACCGCAUACUAGUAUAUGGACCUGCGUUGUAUUAGCUAGUAGGUAGGGUAAGGGCCUACCUAGGCAACGAUACAUAGCCGACCUGAGAGGGUGAACGGCCAAAAUGGGAAGUGGAAAACGCCCAGAAUCCUACGGGAGGCAGCAGUAGGGAAUCUUCGGGAAAGGGGGGAACCCUGAACGGGCAACGCCGCGGGAGGGAAGAAGGUUUUCGGAUCCUAAAGCUCUGUUGUUAAGGAAGCGGUACUUAACCAGAAAGGGACGGCUAACUACGUGCCAGCAGCCGCGGUAAUUC